rnacentral:rRNA from 1 species
UACGUAGGUCGCAAGCGUUGUCCGGAUUUACUGGGCGUAAAGAGCGCGCAGGCGGCUGGUCAAGUCCGAUGUGAAAGCUUCCGGCUUAACUGGAAAAUUGCAUCGGAAACUGGUCGGCUUGAAGGUGGGAGAGGGUAGCGGAAUUCCCGGUGUAGUGGUGAAAUGCGCAGAUAUCAGGAGGAACACCAAUUGCGAAGGCAGCUCGCUGGGACGUUACUGACGCUGAGACGCGAAAGCGUGGGGGAGCAAACAGG